rnacentral:rRNA from 1 species
UACGGAGGGGGCAAGCGUUGUUCGGAAUUAUUGGGCGUAAAGAGUAUGUAGGCGGCUAUUUAAGUCAGACGUGCAAGCCCACGGCUCAACCGUGGAAUUGCGUUUGAAACUAUUUAGCUUGAGUUCAGGAGAGGAAGGCGGAAUUCCCAGUGUAGCGGUGAAAUGCAUUGAUAUUGGGAAGAACACCGGUGGCGAAGGCGGCCGGCUGGGGCCACUCUGACGCUGAGGCGCGAAAGCGUGGGGAGCAAACAGG